rnacentral:rRNA from 1 species
GGGGGGGCAAGCGUUGUUCGGAAUUACUGGGCGUAAAGGGUGCGUAGGCGGCUUGCUAAGUCAGGGGUGAAAUCCUGGAGCUCAACUCCAGAACUGCCUUUGAUACUGGCGAUCUUGAGUUCGGGAGAGGUGAGUGGAACUCCGAGUGUAGAGGUGAAAUUCGUAGAUAUUCGGAAGAACACCAGUGGCGAAGGCGGCUCACUGGCCCGAUACUGACGCUGAGGUGCGAAAGCGUGGGGAGCAAACAGG